UUUGACGAUGGAUUACCAGUGAGCGGCGGACGGGUGAGUAACACGUGGGCAACCUGCCCUGGAGCGGGGGAUAACAUUUGGAAACAGAUGCUAAUACCGUAUAACAACAAAAACCGCAUGGUUUUUGUUUGAAAGGUGGCUUCGGCUAUCACUUCUGGAUGGUUCCGCGGCGCAUUAGCUAGUUGGUGAGGUAAAGGCUUACCAAGGCGAUGAUGCAUAGCCGAGUUGAGAGACUGAUCGGCCACAAUGGAACUGAGACACGGUCCAUACUCC
rnacentral:rRNA from 1 species